GUUCGACAAAGAUGGAGAUGGUUCCAUCCUUCCUUAUAUUUAUAUAUAUUUCUAGAUCUAGCUUUGAUUUUGGUGUUUGUGUCUGUCUUAGUCUUAUUUUCUGUAUUUUUCAUUCGUUUUUGCUUGUGGAUAUUUUGAUGGUUGAAUAAUUUUUUCCAAUUUUCAAUUUAUUAUUUGAUCGCUGUUUUGAACUUUUUUUUCUUCGAGAUGCGAAAAUGUUUUUUCCAUUGUUUGGAAAUUGUGUUGCCUUAUAUAGAAAGCAGGAAAUUACUAAAUAUUUGACUCAAUUAAUAAGAUUAAAUUACAAAAUGCAUCCCAUUAUUUCUUAAAAUUCUUACUUUUAAAAUGAAAUUGAAUAUACAUGACACUCUUAAAUUCACACUUGAAUUUUGAUUCAAUUUUGUGAUGUAUAUUUAGUGUUUUUAAUAGAAUCCCAACAAUUUGAAAUUUUUAGCAUUUUUGGUUCUUACCCUCAUUGUGAAUUCUUUUUAGCUAGUGAACGCAAACGUGUAUCCUUUAUGUUAUUAUAUACUUGAUUUGUUCUACGGAUUUGAUAUGUGGCUCUAUGAGUUUCCUGCUGAUUAUUGUACAAACUGAUGUGUUUCUUCUUGUCCUGGCCAUGGCAUCAUGACAAUUUUCUCAAAAAGUGUUGCUCUACAUGUUGGAUACUUGAAACUAUUUGUAAACUCUCGUUGUUGUCACACAUGCUAAGGUCUAUUCAGAAGAUUGAAACAGAGGUGUUUGUUGUUGCAAUUGUUGUUUUAGUGUGGUUUUCUUUGUACUAUUGCAACAUAAUUACAAUCCAUAAAAUGAUUCCCCUAUGAUUAGAGUCAUGAUAUGUAGUUGAAGUUUAAGGUCUAGUUUUUUAAUUAAUUUAUUUUCAAUUUCAGGUUGCAUUACCACAAAGGAGCUU
rnacentral:misc_RNA from 1 species